rnacentral:lncRNA from 1 species
UCUGCAUACUGCCUUUAAAUGGCUCUGAGUUUCUAUGUGUAUCUCAACAGGCCCCAGUGUGUGCCCUCCUUGAGUCCAUGUGUUCUCAUUGUUCAACUCCCACUUGUGAGUGAGAACAUGUGGGGUCUGGUUUUCUGUUCCUGUGUUAUUUUGCUGAAGAUGAUGGCUUCCAGCUUCAUCCAUGUCCCUGCAAAGGACAUGAUCUCAUUCCUUUUUGUUGCUGCAUAGUAUUCCAUGAUGUAUAUGUACCACAUUUUCUUUAUACAGUCUAUCUUUGAUGGCAUUUGGGUUGGUUCCAUGUCUUUGGUAUUGUGAAUAGGGCUGCAAUAAACCUAUGCAUGCAGGUAUCAUUAUAAAAGAAUGAUCUAUAUACC